UCCCAAAUAGCUCAGUUGGUUAGAGCAUCUGACUGUUAAUCAGAGGGUCACAGGUUCAAGUCCUGUUUUGGGAG
rnacentral:tRNA from 1 species